AAAAGAUGAAACUUCAAAUUUAGAGUUUUGAAGUUACUAUUUGGAGAACAAAAAAAACUCUAUAUUUAAAGUGAUUGAGUUUCUUUUGCAGAUGCUCUAAGAAUUGGCUUCACUUCUAUAAUUUUUCAUAAAUAUAUUAAAAACAUAUAAAUGAAUUUCUCUAAAAUAAAAAUGUUAUUUAUCUACUUAUAAAAGGUUAGUAAUUUUUUUAAAGAGGAGAUCCUUAUCGUUGCAAUGCUGUUUCUGGUGUCGAUUCUCUUGAAAACCAGAUAGAGCAAGAUUAGUUCUUAAAACAAUAGUGAUGAAAGAAAAAAAAUGUUACUUUCCAAAAAAAAAAAAAGAGAAAGGUUAGUUGUUUUAAUGAAAAUUGUCACAAAUACCACAUUCAUAGUACAAUUUUUCAUGUUUACACUAACCACUUUUACCAUUAUUUUUAAAAAAAGGUAAAAGACAUUAUACUCC
rnacentral:lncRNA from 1 species